rnacentral:rRNA from 1 species
ACGAACGCUGGCGGCGUGCUUAACACAUGCAAGUCGAACGGAAAGGCCCUGCUUGCAGGGUACUCGGGUGGCGAACGGGUGAGUAACACGUGGGUGAUCUGCCCUGCACUUCGGGAUAAGCCUGGGAAACUGGGUCUAAUACCGGAUAGGAGCCAUUUUUAGUGUGAUGGUUGGAAAGUUUUUUCGGUGUAGGAUGAGCUCGCGGCCUAUCAGCUUGUUGGUGGGGUAAUGGCCUACCAAGGCGGCGACGGGUAGCCGGCCUGAGAGGGUGGACGGCCACAUUGGGACUGAGAUACGGCCCAGACUCCUACGGGAGGCAGCAGUGGGGAAUAUUGCACAAUGGGCGCAAGCCUGAUGCAGCGACGCCGCGUGGGGGAUGACGGCCUUCGGGUUGUAAACUCCUUUCGCUAGGGACGAAGCUUUUUGUGACGGUACCUAGAUAAGAAGCACCGGCUAACUACGUG